AGCGAACGCUGGCGGCAGGCCUAACACAUGCAAGUCGAACGAACCUUUCGGGGUUAGUGGCGGACGGGUGAGUAACACGUGGGAACGUGCCUUUAGGUUCGGAAUAACUCAGGGAAACUUGUGCUAAUACCGAAUGUGCCCUUCGGGGGAAAGAUUAAUCGCCUUUAGAGCGGCCCGCGUCUGAUUAGCUAGUUGGUUGAGGUAAUGGCUCACCAAGGCGACGAUCAGUAGCUGGUCUGAGAGGAUGAUCAGCCACAUUGGGACUGAGACACGGCCCAAACUCCUACGGGAGGCAGCAGUGGGGAAUCUUGCGCAAUGGGCGAAAGCCUGACGCAGCCGUGCCGCGUGAAUGAUGAAGGUCUUAGGAUUGUAAAAUUCUUUCACCGGGGACGAUAAUGACGGUACCCGGAGAAGAAGCCCCGGCUAACUUCGU
rnacentral:rRNA from 1 species